rnacentral:rRNA from 1 species
CACGUAGGGUGCGAGCGUUUGUCCGGAAUUAUUGGGCGUAAAGAGCUCGUAGGCGGUGUGUCGCGUCGGCCGUGAAAACCUGCAGCUUAACUGUGGGCUUGCGGUCGAUACGGGCAUCACUGGAGUUCGGCAGGGGAGACUGGAAUUCCUGGUGUAGCGGUGAAAUGCGCAGAUAUCAGGAGGAACACCGGUGGCGAAGGCGGCUUCUUGGGCCGUUCCUGACGCUGAGGCGCGAAAGCUGGGGGAGCGAACGG